AUGGACAGGGAUUUCCUGGUGCAGUCCCGCUUCUGCAGAAGAUUUCAACACUAAACUUGCACAAUGUCUUUGAAACCAAGAGUAGUAGAUUUUGAUGAAAUACGGAACAAACCUUUAACGACAAUCAAAGCUGUUGUCAUGUUGGAAUAUGUCAAAAGAGCAACAUGGAACAAUCGCUUCUCAGAUAUCUAUGCUUUAUGUGUGGCCUAUCCUGAACCCCUUGGAGAAAGACUUUAUACAGAAACUAAGAUUUUUUUGGAAAAUCAUGUACGGCAUUUGCACAAGAGAGUUCUGGAGUCUGAAGAGCAAGUACUUGUUAUGUAUCAUAGGUAUUGGGAGGAAUAUAGCAAAGGUGCAGACUAUAUGGACUGCUUGUAUAGGUAUCUCAACACCCAGUUUAUUAAAAAGAAUAAAUUGACAGAAGCUGACCUUCAGUAUGGCUAUGGUGGUGUAGAUAUGAAUGAACCACUUAUGGAAAUAGGAGAGCUAGCAUUGGAUAUGUGGAGGAAAUUGAUGGUUGAACCACUUCAGACCAUCCUUAUCCGAAUGUUGCUCCGAGAAAUAAAAAAUGAACAUGGUGGAGAAGACCCAAACCAGAAAGUAAUCCAUGGGGUUAUUAACUCCUUUGUUCAUGUUGAACAGUAUAAGAAAAAAUUCCCCUUAAAGUUUUAUCAGGAAAUCUUUGAGUCUCCCUUUCUGACUGAAACAGGAGAGUAUUACAAACAAGAAGCUUCAAAUUUAUUACAAGAAUCAAACUGCUCACAGUAUAUGGAAAAGGUUCUAGGCAGAUUAAAAGAUGAAGAAAUUCGAUGUCGAAAAUACUUGCAUCCAAGUUCAUAUACUAAAGUGAUUCAUGAAUGUCAGCAACGAAUGGUAGCAGACCACUUACAGUUCCUACAUGCAGAAUGUCAAAAUAUCAUCCGACAAGAGAAAAAAAAUGACAUGGCAAAUAUGUAUGUCUUAUUUCAUGCUGUGUCCACUGGUUUACCUCAUAUGAUUCAGGAGCUGCAAAAUCAUAUCCAUGAUGAGGGCCUUAGAGCAACCAGUAAUCUUACUCAGGAAAAUAUGCCAACACUAUUUGUGGAGUCAGUUUUGGAAGUACAUGGUAAAUUUGUUCAACUUAUCAACACUGUUUUAAAUGGUGAUCAGCACUUUAUGAGUGCAUUGGAUAAGGCCCUUACAUCAGUUGUAAAUUACAGAGAACCCAAGUCUGUUUGCAAAGCACCUGAACUGCUUGCUAAGUACUGUGACAACUUAUUAAAGAAGUCACCUAAGGGGAUGACAGAGAAUGAAGUAGAGGACAAACUCACGAGCUUCGUUACCGUUUUCAAGUAUAUCAAUGAUAAGGAUAUUUUUCAAAAGUUCUACGCAAGAAUGCUGGCAAAACGUUUAAUUCAUGGGUUAUCUAUGUCUAUGGAAUUUACCAGCAAGCUACAUCGGAUGUAUACAGAUAUGAGUGUCAGUGCCGAUCUCAACAAUAAAUUUAACAGUUUUAUCAAAAAUCAAGACACAGUAAUAGAUUUGGGAAUUAGUUUUCAAAUAUAUGUUCUACAGGCUGGUGCAUGGCCUCUUACUCAGGCUCCUUCAUCUACAUUUGCAAUUCCCCAGGAAUUGGAAAAAAGUGUACAGAUGUUUGAAUUAUUUUACAGCCAGCAUUUCAGUGGAAGGAAACUGACAUGGUUACAUUAUCUCUGUACAGGUGAAGUUAAAAUGAACUAUUUGGGCAAACCAUAUGUAGCCAUGGUUACCACAUACCAAAAUGGCAGCUCUUCUUGCCUUUAACAACAGUGAAACUGUCAGCUAUAAAGAGCUUCAGGACAGCAUUCAGAUGAAUGAAAAGGAACUGACAAAAACAAUGAAAUCAUUACUUGAUGUGAAAAUGAUUAACCAUGAUUCAGAAAAGGAAGACAUUGAUGCAGAACCUUCAUUUUCAUUAAAUAUGAACUUUAGCAAUAAAAGAACAAAAUUUAAAAUUACUACAUCAAUGCAGAAAGACACACCACAGGAAAUGGAGCAGAUGAGAAGUGCUAUAGAUGAGGACCGGAAAAUGUAUCUCCAGGCUGCUAUAGUUUGUAUCAUGAAAGCACGGAAAGGACUUCGUCAUAAUGCCCUUAUUCAAGAGGUGAUUAGCCAGUCAAGAGCUAGGUUUAAUCCUAGUAUCAGCAUGAUUGAGAAGUGUAUUGAAGUUCUGAUAGACAAACAGUACAUCGAAUGCAGCCAAGCGUCAGCAGAUGAAUACAGUUACGUAGCACGAUGUCGCUCUCCUCUAGGGUGGGUGUGAGAUCAUUGCCAUCACCAUUUGGUGUGUUCCUGUGGGAAAAAGCAGGCCUGUGCCUCCAUAAUUUGGUCAUUUGGCAGGCCCUGUUUUUCUGCUGUUUACAACAUCACCAGUGCCAUGUCAUGAGCGUCAGAGAAAAUGCCUAGAGAUAUUUCAAGCUCAUGUCAUUAUGACAUUUCUUAAAACUUUAUUAAAAGAAUGAGUGAAGUAUUGCUGAAAUGUGGAAAUUUGGGUGGGUACCAUGCUUUUUCUCCCU